rnacentral:lncRNA from 10 species
CCUUGUAGUCGGUGGAGAAAGGGGAGUCACAGGGAGGGAGAGGAAGAGACCUGACCCAUCCAGCAAGAACAGGGCCUGGAAGAGUGCCCUCCUUGUCUGAAGCUCCAGUGCAGUCCUUGAGAGGCAUCCCACAACCAUGGCUGGCAGAUGCCAAGGGGAUGUGUGAGAUGGCCCAGCUCCAGGAUGAAACUCAACUUUAGGGAAGCUGGGGAGAGCCUCACAGCGCUGGACAAGCCAUCAGAUGGCACUGCCCCCAGGGACACACCCGGGGGCGUGGACAGGGAUAUGGAGGACCUAAGGCAAAGGGUGGCUUCAAACGUGACAGCAGAUCAGCCGCUGGGGAAAUACCAGAGGGGAUUUGACAGCUGGGCCAGGUGUUCCAGGACAGCACUUUCCAAAAGAUUUUCCAUCCAAACUUCCAGCAAGAAGUAGAUCUUCCAUCGUUAUCCAGAGCAUAUCUACGCAUUCAGAUGAAGAAAACAACACUGACAUGCAUUAUCUCCCAACACCAACCUCAACCCAGCCCUGGAGUGUGAGCAGAGCCAGCAGCAUUUCCAGCCCCGCCUCUGGAGGAAGGAGAGGAACCUGAGACUCUUGGGUGACCUGAGGCGUCUCUGGCAGCACCAGCAAAAGAGCCUGGCCCUGGCCGCCCAGCACAGGUGCUCAGUCCCUCCUGACUGCCACUGCUCCCUCAACACCAAAGCACAGGGUCGCGAGAUGUUGGGAGAGGGUCGGGGAUGCUGGGCUGGGAGAGGACCGGGGGCCUGUCAGAAGCCAUGACAUGAUGCACUCACCGCUCAGGAGGAAGCUACUGGCCUUUGAGUGAAAUCUAUAAGAAUGAACUCUGGAGAUGUAUCGUACAACAUGGAGUCUACAGUUAAAAACUGUAUUGUAUACUGGAAAAUUGCUAAGAUUAGAUCUUCCAUGUUCUCACUACAAAAGCAUAAGUAUGUGAGAUGACGGACGUGUGUGUCAGCUUGAUUUAAUCAUUUUGCAGUGUGGCAAAGCAUCGCACUGUAGGUGGUAAAUAUAUAUACAGUUUUGUCAAUUAUACCUUCAGGAAGCUGGGGUGGUUGGUGUGUGUGUGUGUGUCUGUGUGAUGUGAGGUCAGUGAGGUGCUGAA